GUCCACGCCGUAAACGAUGUCGACUUGGAGGUUGUUCCUUGAGGAGUGGCUUCCGGAGCUAACGCGUUAAGUCGACCGCCUGGGAGUACGGCCGCAAGGUUAAACUCAAAUGAAUUGACGGGCCCGCACAAGCGGUGGAGCAUGUGGUUUAAUUCGAUGCAACGCGAAGAACCUUACCUACUCUUGACAUCCAGAGAACUUAGCAGAGAUGCUUUGGUGCCUUCGGGAACUCUGAGACAGGUGCUGCAUGGCUGUCGU
rnacentral:rRNA from 1 species